UACGUAGGGGCCAAGCGUUGUCCGGAUUUAUUGGGCGUAAAGAGCUCGUAGGCGGUUCGGCAAGUCAGCUGUGAAAUCUCCACGCUCAACGUGGAGGGGUCAGCUGAUACUGCUGUGACUUGAGUCCGGUAGGGGAGUGUGGAAUUCCCGGUGUAGCGGUGAAAUGCGCAGAUAUCAGGAGGAACACCGGUGGCGAAGGCGGGUCUCUGGGCCGAUAUUGACGCUGAGGAGCGAAAGCGUGGGGGAGCGAACAGG
rnacentral:rRNA from 1 species